ACGCUGGCGGCGCGCCUAACACAUGCAAGUCGAACGAGAAAGCAGGAGCAAUCUUGUGAGUAAAGUGGCGUACGGGUGAGUAACACGUGGAUCAUCUACCCUCUUGUGGGGGAUAACCCUGGGAAACCGGGGCUAAUACCGCAUAAGUCCGAGAGGAGAAAGCAGCAAUGCGCAGGAAGAGGAGUCCGCGGCCGAUUAGCUAGUUGGUAGGGUAAAAGCCUACCAAGGCUACGAUCGGUAGCCGGCCUGAGAGGGCACACGGCCACACUGGCACUGAAACACGGGCCAGACUCCUACGGGAGGCAGCAGUGGGGAAUCUUGCACAAUGGGGGCAACCCUGAUGCAGCGACGCCGCGUGAACGAUGAAGCCCUUCGGGGUGUAAAGUUCUUUCGGCAGGGAAGAUUAUGACGGUACCUGCAGAAGCAGCUGCGGCUAACUACGUGCCAGCAGCCGCGGUAAUACGUAGGCAGCAAGCGUUGUUCGGAGUUACUGGGCGUAAAGCGUGCGCAGGCGGUUUUGUAAGUCUGUCGUGAAAUCCCCGGGCUCAACCUGGGAAUGGCGAUGGAGACUGCAAGGCUAGAGUUUGGCAGAGGGGGGUAGAAUUCCACGUGUAGCAGUGAAAUGCGUAGAUAUGUGGAGGAACACCGAUGGCGAAGGCAGCCCCCUGGGUCAAGACUGACGCUCAUGCACGAAAGCGUGGGGAGC
rnacentral:rRNA from 1 species